rnacentral:rRNA from 1 species
AACGAACGCUGGCGGCAGGCUUAACACAUGCAAGUCGAGCGCCCCGCAAGGGGGGCGGCAGACGGGUGAGUAACGCGGGGGAACGUACCUUUUGGUUGGGAACAACUCCGGGAGACUGGAGCUAAUACCGGAUAAGCCCGAACGGGGAAAGAUUUAUCGCCGAAAGAUCGGCCCGCGUCUGAUUCGCGAGUUGGUGAGGUAACGGCGCCCCAAGGCGACGAUCAGUAGCUGGUCUGAGAGGAUGAUCAUCCACACUGGGACUGAGACACGGCCCAGACUCCUACGAGAGGCAGCAGUGGGGAAUAUUGGACCAUGGGCGCAAGCCUGAUCCAGCCAUGCCGCGUGAGUGAUGAAGGCCUUAGGGUUGUAAAGCUCUUUUGUCCGGGAAGAUAAUGACUGUACCGGAAGAAUAAGCCCCGGCUAACUUCGUG